rnacentral:tRNA from 1 species
GCCCACGUAGCUCAACGGACAGAGCAACAGGCUUCGGACCUGUAGGUUCCGGGUUCAAAUCCCGGCGUGGGCA